rnacentral:rRNA from 1 species
UGAGUAACCUGCCCUUAACUCUGGGAUAAGCCUGGGAAACUGGGUCUAAUACCGGAUAAGUCCGAGAGGAGAAAGCAGCAAUGCGCAGAGAGAGGAGUCCGCGGCCGAUUAGUUAGUUGGCAGGGUAAAAGCCUACCAAGACAAAGAUCGGUAGCCGGCCUGAAAAGGCACACGGCCACACUGGCACUGAAACACAGGCCAGACUCCGUACGGGAGGCAG